GGAGGUAUAGCUCAGUGGUAGAGGGUCUGCUUAUCAUGCAUAAGAUCCAGGCAUCAACCCCCAGUACCUCCA
rnacentral:tRNA from 1 species